rnacentral:rRNA from 1 species
ACGCUGGCGGCAGGCUUAACACAUGCAAGUCGAACGGUAACAGGAAUUAGCUUGCUAAUUUGCUGACGAGUGGCGGACGGGUGAGUAAUGCUUGGGAAUCUGGCUUAUGGAGGGGGAUAACUACGGGAAACUGUAGCUAAUACCGCGUAAAUCUUCGGAUUAAAGGGUGGGACUUUCGAGCCACCUGCCAUAAGAUGAGCCCAAGUGGGAUUAGGUAGUUGGUUAGGUAAAGGCUGACCAAGCCGACGAUCUCUAGCUGGUCUGAGAGGAUGACCAGCCACACUGGAACUGAGACGCGGUCCAGACUCCUACGGGAGGCAGCAGUGGGGAAUAUCGCACAAUGGUGGGAACCCUGAUGCAGCCAUGCCGCGUGAAUGAAGAAGGCCUUCGGGUUGUAAAGUUCUUUCGGUGACGAGGAAGGUUGAUAGGUUAAUAGCCUAUCAAAUUGACGUUAAUCACAGAAGAAGCACCGGCUAACUCCGUGCCAGCAGCCGCGGUAAUACGGGGGGUGCGAGCGUUAAUCGGAAUAACUGGGCGUAAAGGGCACGCAGGCGGUGACUUAAGUGAGAUGUGAAAGCCCCGAGCUUAACUUGGGAAUUGCAUUUCAUACUGGGUCGCUAGAGUACUUUAGGGAGGGGUAGAAUUCCACGUGUAGCGGUGAAAUGCGUAGAGAUGUGGAGGAAUACCGAAGGCGAAGGCAGCCCCUUGGGAAUGUACUGACGCUCAUGUGCGAAAGCGUGGGGAGCAAACAGGAUUAGAUACCCUGGUAGUCCACGCUGUAAACGAUGUCGAUUUGGGGAUUGGGCUUUGAGCUUGGUGCCCGUAGCUAACGUGAUAAAUCGACCGCCUGGGGAGUACGGCCGCAAGGUUAAAACUCAAAUGAAUUGACGGGGGCCCGCACAAGCGGUGGAGCAUGU